rnacentral:rRNA from 1 species
UGACACAGGGAGGUAGUGACAAGAAAUAACAAUACGGGGCCUCAACGCCUUGUAAUUGGAAUGAUGGGAACCUAAACCCCUUCCAGAGUAUCAAUUGGAGGGCAAGUCUGGUGCCAGCAGCCGCGGUAAUUCCAGCUCCAAUAGCGUAUAUUAAAAUUGUUGUCAGUUAAAAAGCUCGUAGUUGAAUUUCUGCCGCAUCGCGGCGGCCCUCCCGGGCCCCAGGCGUUGCGGCAUAUUUCGGACUCGCUUUCGUCUCCGAAUGUUAAUCAAC